GCUAGCGUAGCUUAAGCAAAGCGUGACAUUGAAAAUGUUGAAAUGGACCCUCAAAAGUCCCGCAGGCA
rnacentral:tRNA from 1 species